UUACAGUAAAGUCAGAUUUCUGACUUUAUUCUCAGAAUUCUGACUUUAAACUCAGAACUUAAAUACAUUUUUUCACAUGUGGCCCUAAUCCUCUUCCAUAAAUAUCACAUUUACUGUUCACACAUUCUUUUGGCAAUGGUUUCUAUGGAAGUUUGAUUGAUGUGUUUGUUUCUCCUAUUAGCGGCACUCCAGUCCAAGUGAAAAAUUUGUUUCAUGCAUUGAUAAUUUUAGUGAUUUUUAUUUUCAACUAAUGGACUAUCAACUGAAACCUCCAACAAAGCAUCACGUUUUAUUGGAAUAUGGAGGAUGGUUUGUGGAUUUUGAUUCUUUUUUUAAAAAUUUUGUGAAUGAGGAUCCUAAAGAAAACUGAUCCCAGAAUUUAGGUGAAAAUUGGGAAGCAUGACUUUGCUAAAUUUGUUUUAAAGUAUUUGUACUGCCGUCAUUGGAUGCUACAUGAAGAUGCUCAGUAGAGAAACUGGACAAUGAUGUGCUGCAUGUAAACCUGAAUUUUCUGACAAUACAGACCAGAGUUUCUGUGUGCUCUUUUGUUACACGUUUCCCCAAAUACUAUUUAUACUGCGGUACAAACAUUUUGUUACCACUGAUGGGUUUCUUUGCAGAAAACCUUUUUUUUUAUUUUUUAUUUCAAUUAAAUUUUUUAUUUCAUUAAAGCUUUUUUCCCAAGGUUUCCUUUUUAAUAGGAUGCCACUGGGAUCAGUAUGUUUCCACAUGAAUAUACUCUUUAUCACAAUAAUACAGCCUGAACAUCAUUCAUGUAAUGGGAUGAUGACAUUGGUGAUUCAGUUCCACCUUUAACAAUCACAUUAGCCUCAUUGUACACUGUAGUGGUCUCUCUUGUUUCUGAAUAUGGAACACACUUUGACAGUAACAGCUAGAACAAAUAUUUCAAAUAUUUAUUCAUAACGUGGAACAAUAUUGUCCUUCAGUGCAAACAUAGACACGGUUCAGAUUGCAACAUGUGAAAGAAAGAAGGUUUGGCACCUUUCCAAGAGUCCUUUUUCACAAGGCUUUUUUCUUAUACUGUAGACACACACACACACACACACACACACACACACACACACACACACACACACACACACACACACAGUGUAUGCAGAAAAAUAUAAUCUCUAUGACCCUGGCUUUGAAUACCAAUCAUUUACAUAUAUUUCACAGAACACUUUGAAUGCCAAUAUGUCGUGACAGAGCGAGCUGUAAACAUUGUAAAAUAAACAGCCUUGUCUUUUGUACUUUCUA